CACAUUUUAAAUAAGAAAUAAUGCUCCACUAAGAAAUGAGAAGGGGAAAAACUUGUUUAAGGUCCAUAAUCUUGGGUUUGUUUUUUUUUAAAAUCAAGAACUGAGUUAUUGGAGUUCUCUUGUAGUGUAGUAGAUUAAGAAUUUAGCAUUGUCACUUCAGCAGCCUGGGUCACUGCUAUGAUAUAGGUUUGAUCCCAGGCCCAGGAAUUUCCACAUGCUGCAGGUGUGACCCCCCCCUCAAAAAAAGAACUAAGUUAUUCUAUUUCUAUUCUAUUCUCUCACUAUGGCAACUGCCAUCAGAAGUUCUAGGCAGUUAAGGAUUGUGUAUAAAUCAGGAUCUAAUCAGGGAAACAAGCACCAAUCUUAACUCAGGGGUUGAGGAAGAACAGAGAAGCCAAAGUACGGUGAGUGAGCUACAGAGAGCCUCUGCAAGGUCUAGGUCAGAAGGAUGGACAGUGCAGAGCUCAAGGUCAUCAGAGACGCUGCCUGACAGGGCACAGCAGACCUGUGCUAAGGAGGCAGGGCUGAGAGUCUGGGAGCAAGGCGGAGACCCGAUGGACAGCACUACAUGGAGCGAGAGCUGCAGAGGGUUCCCCUCCAGCCUUCAACUGAGGACUGACCAACACAUGCAUGUAAGAAAACUAUGCCAAGCCAGGGCAAGAACCACCUGAGAGGAGAAGAGGGAACAAUCUCCAAAGCCCAUAUAAGACCCUGCGAGAGGGAGGGCUUUUUCCCUUCCAGCCUCCCUCUCAUCCUCCACCAGUGCCUCUCACCAGCCAGUGGUUACCAACCUUGGCUGAGAUGACUGGGCACACCCCUAGAGAGUCAGUGGAACUCGCCUAAGUGCAGCCUGAGCAUUAGGAGUUUUAAAAGCUGUCUCUGUGAACACCACUGCAGGAGCUGAGCAUAGGAGACCAGAUCCCGGAAAAGCAGUCUGAGGAAAUCAGUGCCCUGCCAUACAAGGUACUGGAGCGUUACCGUGUCCACAAUCGUGACGGAUGAGGCGCUGAAAAAUUCUCCUAUUAUGACAACUACUAAGAUCACCAAGAAUAUAGCUUCUACCUCUUGCUGAUCAUAAACAAGAGUGACUUGGUCAGAAGUCUGUUUCCUCCUCAGGAAUAGCAGCUGAUUCAGACGGAGAGGGAGUUUCAUUUGAAGGUGGUUCUGGUUCCCUGGAAAUACCAUU